rnacentral:rRNA from 1 species
AGCUCCAAUAGCGUAUAUUAAAGUUGUUGCAGUUAAAAAGCUCGUAGUUGGAUUUCGGAGCGGGCCAGUUGGUCGGCCGCAAGGUCUGUUACUGACUGGUCUGCUCUUCUUCGCAAAGACUGCGUGUGCUCUUGACUGAGUGUGCGUAGGAUUUACGACGUUUACUUUGAAAAAAUUAGAGUGUUCAAAGCAGGCGCACGGCUUGAAUACAUGAGCAUGGAAUAAUGGAAUAGGACUUUGGUUCUAUUUUGUUGGUUUCUAGGACCGAAGUAAUGAUUAAGAGGGACAAUUGGGGGCAUCCGUAUUUCGUUGUCAGAGGUGAAAUUCUUGGAUUUACGAAAGACGAACAACUGCGAAAGCACUUGCCAAGAGUGUUUUCAUUAAUCAAGAACGAAAGUAG